rnacentral:rRNA from 1 species
UGGGGAAUAUUGGACAAUGGGGGCAACCCUGAUCCAGCAAUGCCGCGUGUGUGAAGAAGGUUUUCGGAUUGUAAAGCACUUUCGGCGGGGACGAUGAUGACGGUACCCGCAGAAGAAGCCCCGGCUAACUUCGUGCCAGCAGCCGCGGUAAUACGAAGGGGGCUAGCGUUGCUCGGAAUGACUGGGCGUAAAGGGCGUGUAGGCGGUUUGUACAGUCAGAUGUGAAAUCCCCGGGCUUAACCUGGGAGCUGCAUUUGAGACGUGCAGACUAGAGUGUGAGAGAGGGUUGUGGAAUUCCCAGUGUAGAGGUGAAAUUCGUAGAUAUUGGGAAGAACACCGGUGGCGAAGGCGGCAACCUGGCUCAUUACUGACGCUGAGGCGCGAAAGCGUGGGGAGCAAACAGGAUUAGAUACCCUGGUAGUCCACGCUGUAAACGAUGUGUGCUGGAUGUUGGGUAACUUAGUUAUUCAGUGUCGUAGCUAACGCGAUAAGCACACCGCCUGGGGAGUACGGCCGCAAGGUUGAA